rnacentral:tRNA from 1 species
AACAAGAUGGCUGAGUUUCAAGCAGAAGAUUGUAGCUCUUCCAACGGGUUUGUCCCUCUUGUUA